rnacentral:rRNA from 1 species
GACCGAGGGUGCAAACGUUGUUCGGAAUUACUGGGCGUAAAGCGCGUGUAGGCGGCUCUGCAAGUCGGGCGUGAAAGCCCUCGGCUCAACCGAGGAAGUGCACUCGAAACUGCGUAGCUAGAGUCCCGGAGAGGAAGGUGGAAUACUUGGUGUAGAGGUGAAAUUCGUAGAUAUCAAGUGGAACACCGGUGGCGAAGGCGGCCUUCUGGACGGUGACUGACGCUGAGACGCGAAAACGUGGGGAGCAAACAGG